UACGUAGGUGGCAAGCGUUGUCCGGAAUUAUUGGGCGUAAAGCGCGCGCAGGCGGCCUCUUAAGUCUGAUGUGAAAGCCCCCCGGCUCAACCGGGGGAGGGCCAUUGGAAACUGGGAGGCUUGAGUAUAGGAGAGAAGAGUGGAAUUCCACGUGUAGCGGUGAAAUGCGUAGAGAUGUGGAGGAACACCAGUGGCGAAGGCGACUCUUUGGCCUAUAACUGACGCUGAGGCGCGAAAAGCGUGGGGGAGCAAACAGG
rnacentral:rRNA from 1 species